UGGGGAAUAUUGCACAAUGGGCGAAAGCCUGAUGCAGCAACGCCGCGUGAGUGAUGAAGGCCUUCGGGUUGUAAAGCUCUGUCUUUUGGGACGAUAAUGACGGUACCAAAGGAGGAAGCCACGGCUAACUACGUGCCAGCAGCCGCGGUAAUACGUAGGUGGCAAGCGUUGUCCGGAUUUACUGGGCGUAAAGGAUGCGUAGGCGGAUUUUUAAGUGAGAUGUGAAAUACCCGGGCUUAACUUGGGUGCUGCAUUCAAACUGGGAAUCUAGAGUGCGGGAGAGGAGAAUGGAAUUCCUAGUGUAGCGGUGAAAUGCGUAGAGAUUAGGAAGAACACCAGUGGCGAAGGCGAUUCUCUGGACCGUAGCUGACGCUGAGGCAUGAAAGCGUGGGUAGCAAACAGGAUUAGAUACCCUGGUAGUCCACGCCGUAAACGAUGAGUACUAGGUGUAGGAGGUAUCGACCCCUUCUGUGCCGCAGUUAACACAAU
rnacentral:rRNA from 1 species